rnacentral:rRNA from 1 species
UCGGGAAUUUUGGGCAAUGGGCGAAAGCCUGACCCAGCAACGCCGCGUGAAGGAUGAAGUCUCUCGGGAUGUAAACUUCGUAAGAAUAGGAAGAAUAAAUGACGGUACUAUUUGUAAGGUCCGGCUAACUACGUGCCAGCAGCCGCGGUAAUACGUAGGGACCAAGCGUUGUUCGGAUUUACUGGGCGUAAAGGGCGCGUAGGCGGCGUGGUAAGUCACUUGUGAAAUCUCCGAGCUUAACUCGGAACGGUCAAGUGAUACUGCUGUGCUAGAGUACAGAAGGGGCAAUCGGAAUUCUUGGUGUAGCGGUGAAAUGCGUAGAUAUCAAGAGGAACACCUGAGGUGAAGACGGGUUGCUGGGCUGAUACUGACGCUGAGGCGCGAAAGCGUGGGGAGCAAACAGGAUUAGAUACCCGGGUAGUCCCUGAGCGGGCUGGCAAGGCGCAU